UUACCGGCUUAAAUGGCAGGAAACUCCUUCGGGCCAAGGUGCUGCAUGGUUGUCGUCAGCUCGUGCCGUGAGGUGUCGGGUUAAGUCCCAUAACGAGCGCAACCCUAUCUUAGUUGCCAGCGGACGGGACUCUAGGAGACUGCCACCGUAAGUGGAGGAAGGUGGGGAUGACGUCAAAUCAGCACGGCCCUUAUGCCGGGCUACACACGUGUUACAAUGGAGUACAAGGGGCACCGCGAGGGAUGCAAUCUCGAAACUGUCUCAGUUCGGAUCGGAGUCUGCAACUCGACUCCGUGAAGUUGGAUUCGCUAGUAAUCGCGAUCAGCAUGCGCGGUGAAUACGUUCCCGGGCCUUGUACACACCGCCCGUCAAACCAUGGAAGCUGGGGGCCGAA
rnacentral:rRNA from 1 species